rnacentral:tRNA from 1 species
GCCGGCUUAGCUCAGAUGGUAGAGCACCUGAUUUGUAAUCAGGGGGUCGCGGGUUCGAUUCCUGCAGCCGGCACCA